UACGUAGGGUGCGAGCGUUGUCCGGAAUUAUUGGGCGUAAAGAGCUCGUAGGCGGUCUGUCGCGUCGGUCGUGAAAACUUGGGGCUUAACCCUGAGCUUGCGGUCGAUACGGGCAUGACUGGAGUUCGGCAGGGGAGACUGGAAUUCCUGGUGUAGCGGUGAAAUGCGCAGAUAUCAGGAGGAACUCCGGUGGCGAAGGCGGCACGCUGGACCUCUUCUGACGCUGAGGCGCGAAAGCCAGGGGAGCAAACGGG
rnacentral:rRNA from 1 species